UCACAUUGCACUUAAGAAAUUCUAGAACGUUCAUUAGUAUGAAUCUGGAGAAGAGUGAGGUGAAGUGAGGUUCCUGGUUCCACUGUUCCAAGGAAAGACAACAGAGGAACAGCUAUGGAGCCUGUGCUCAGUGGGGCAGGGUAGGGCGGAGGGUGAUCCCACUUUUCUUCCAGCCGCACAGGGAAACCAAGGUAUGAUUCGUAAACCAGCACUUGUGGACCACCUGAAGUCUCGCCUGAGAAUUAUAUAGGAAAGAGGAGGAACGGUGAGCACUGAAGAAGCUAGUUUUUUGAGUUAAGUACCACCAAGAAUGCAACCUUUCACUUAUUGCAGCACAAGGGAUAUAUCUGAUGAUAGAAAAUAAAAAUUCUGUUUAUUUACUAUGCAAGACAACUCACCAUUAUGAUGGUCCUUUAACAUUGUCAACCUGAUCCCAAAGGUUCCAGAGCAUACUCAGUAACCCACCCAGAGAAUUCCCUCCUGAACCCUGUUUAGCAGGUUUGAAAACAUACAAAAGGAUUUUUGGCAAAGAAUAAAAACUAUAUUUUUUGUGGCGCUGUUCACUGACACAAAGAGCACUCAGAUUGCUUUCUUUUCUUUUUUUGCCAGAGAGAAAAUAUUGCAAGGCAGAGAACACCCCCAAUGGCUUCUUUGUAGGGAUUUAAAGCUGAUCCUACAUGUUCCACACUUUGAAAAAUAAAGUGGAAACCAAAACAUAGACAUCCUUCAAGAGGCACACGUCCAUGAAGUUUGCAAUGCAGUUCUCAAGCAAAGUAAUGUGCACAGAAAUGCAUGUAUUAGGGUGAAGUGUGCAUAAAAAUUCACAGUUUGUGAAGAUGACAUAAAAUAACCUUAUAUUAAGGGGAAUCGGUUGCAAAAAUGUGCAUUUUUGUCAAAAUUGUAUGUUAAGAAUGUGUGUUUUUAAGAAGAAAUAUGCAUUAAAAUGCUGGCAAAAAUUUAA